GCCCAGGUGGUGUAAAUGGCAACACGUCAGGACAUCAUUAGCGCAGCCUUCGGGUGUUGCAGAUCGUUAUGAUCACCUGUGCCACUGGUGUAUAACCUACAACUUUGACCCCUAGAAAUUCGAGGUUCAAAUCCUCGUCUGGGCA